UUUGCAGCUAUUUUGCCACCUUUUUCUCCUUCUGGGCUGUCAGAUUUCUAAGGAGACCUGGAGGGAGAAAGCCUGAAGAACUUGUUAGUCCACAGCUGCCUCUCUGUCGAGGACGCUCACAAUAAAACUACCACUCAGGAGCCUUGGAGCUAUGUUUCCUGAACAUGACAUGCCUACCUUGCUCCUCUUCCAACUUCCUGAGCUGGCUCUCCCAGCCUACCACUUGAUGGUAGUCUGAUACUCUUCUGUACGGACAGCCUACAAAUGUGCUCAAUAUAUCAGACAUCACAUAUUAUAUUUAUGCUUGUUUGUACUGGAGAACAUGAAAGAACAUUGCAGGAGAAAUUGUGCCUCCUUCGCCAUCCAGGCUGGGUUGGAGGUGGGGAAAGGGGUAGGAGUGGAGCUAUGUAAUGGUGGCAACUUGCAUAAGGAGAAGGAAGUUCUGGCUGAGGUUCUAUGACUUGGUGCAAGAAAGAAAGCAGAGUAUGGAAGAUCUGUCUGACUCUGAAAAGUGGCACCUGGACCCAGCAGAUGGAAAGCUCCUGGGAAGCUCUCCAGCACUGAAGGGACAAAUCUUGGCAAUUCCAUUAGCUGUCUUAGUGACCUUGUAAGUACAUCUUAAGCCUCUUUGUGCCUCAGCUUCUGUAAAAUAGGUAUAAUAAUAGAGUUGUGAAAAUAAAAACCUCAGUAUAUGUGAGGUAUAAGUAAGCAUUACACAAAUGCUAUAUAUUAUAAUUCUGUAUCUACCUACAUGCAACUUGCAAAGUCUGGGAGACAUAACAGAAAUAUGACUAUGAUAGUUGGAAAUAUAUUUGAGGAAGCAUUCAGAUCUAGACAUAUAAAUCUGGGAGAAAAUCAUAAAUAUAAUACCUGCAUUUGAUAAGUAGGAAGUAAAGAAAAAACAAAGCCAGUAAAGAGAAUUUGAAUGUGUAAUGGGUUAAAAGUGCAAAAAACAGGGUAACCAGCAUACAUUAGAAAUCAGGAAAAAAAUAAUUUUUAAGAAG